UUUGGUUUCCGCUCCAGCUCUUUCUCUCUCUUUUUCUUCUCUAUCUCCCCGCCUCUCUCUUUUGUCGACUCUUUUUUCCCUAGCCCUAGAAGUCAAGUGCUGUUGAUUUCGCUCGCGGUACUUCGAGAACUUGCGAUACGGGCUGCGAUAUGAACUUGAGAAGGGCUGUAACUCCUUUUCUCCGUGGCUUUUUUGAACAUAAAGGAAAUUGGAGAUGCACGUCUGGAUCCUGGUGCGAAUUUGAGUGUUACGGAUUCUCAGAGGCUAGCAAAAAUGUCCCUGAAUUCUCUAGCCGAUUCGGGGGACGCUCGGAUGACUUCAUUAAAUUUGCAACAGAAAACGUUUGUCCUGCCAUUGUCUAUGUCACUCAUAAAAAGGGAAUUGGAGGAUCUGGAAUCAUCAUAGAUUCCGACGGCACGGUCUUGACCCGCGCUUGUAGCAAUUUUUCACUGGAUUCGAGAAGCAAGAUCAAUAUCAGUCUAAAUGAUGGAAGAAAAUUUUUAGGAACUAUUCUGGAGUCUAAUGAGGAUCAUGAUCUUACUCUUUUAAAGAUACAAUCAGAGAUUCCCUUACCAACAACAACAUUUGAUUAUUUGGAAGAUUAUAAAGGAAGCGAAUUGAUUUCUUUUGAACAUCUAUUAAGUAGAAGAGCUUAUCCAAGACCUUCAAGUCAAAAUGAAGUUAAUAAAGAGGGCAACUUGAUGCUGUCAGAUGAAGAAUUCAUUUCUAAACUUGAUUAUAAAAAUUUUCAUUUGGGUCGUUGUGGAGGGCCAAUUGUGACUCUUGAUGGUGAUGUUGUUGGAAUUUGCACUCAAAUUGAUAUGAUGUGGCCUCUCGGUAAUGGUGAUUACUGCGGAAAUAUUAAUGCAAUGGGAAUUGAGGAAGCCUUGUGCAAAGUGGGAUACAGAAAAAAAUGGUGUUGACCCUUGGGUCAUUUUUAUCGAUUCAAUUAUAUAAUUAAAGAUCUUGAUACUCGAAUUGGAUCAUUGGAAUUAAAAUAGAUGAAGAAGUAUGAAGUUAUUGAGGGGACGCUAUAUUCUUCUAACUAUAUUUGCUGCAUGACGUGAUCAUCAUGAGAUUGUUGAAUGGUUCUAGACCUUUUCAGAUUGUUCUUUUUCAUUUAUUAUUAAACUUUAUGGCACAUGAUUAAGAUGAAAGAUGAUGCUUAUUGUACUCUGAAUGAGUCGGAGAUUUGGAGAAAAGGAAGACAACUUUGCAUGGAAGUAAAAUAUUUGGAUAGAAAAGAAAGGAAUAUUAAUGUGUAAGCAAUAGUAAA